rnacentral:lncRNA from 1 species
CAGCCCUGGAGGACACAGGGCUCUGCUGGGUGUGAAGCUCUCACAGAGCCACUGCGGGGAGCAGAGUGCCCGCUGGGGUAGGUCAGGAAGGUUCUUUGGUGCCUGCCAGAUUCAGGGGCCCAAGCCUCAGUGUCCUUUACUCACCAGCAUCUUCCUGGCAGCCUAAGACUGGCCUGCAGGCCUCCUUCCUGUAAGGCUCCGUGUUAGGCCCGGGCAGUUUCCAGCUGUCAGACCCCAGCAGGCCCGACCCUCCGGCACUGCCUCAUCUUGAAAUCCAACAACUGCAACACUGAGCGAGAACUGGGCCUCUUCACAGAUUCUGAACUACAGGGGACCGGAAAGAGGCUCUGACUUCUUCCUGUGUAUCCCAGGAACCCUGACGGGACUAUUCAGAAGGCCAGGUGCCGCCGCCCAGGACCUGGAACCUAGACCUGAACUCUCACCCUGGUGCACCUGCCAUGGAACCCAAGUGACCUGCAUCCGUCAGUGCAUCACGCCACAAGGUCGGUGCUAUGUCCAGGACCCCAUGCUGGUCUUGCUGACAGUGUCUUCACUUGAUGGACGCCUUUAUUCUCUUCUGCAUCCCAUAGCUUAGCACCGAUAACCAUGAUACGUCUUACAACUACAGAAUCAGGUAAGAGGAACAAAAUCAUUUCCUUUAGGAAUAUUGCCAAAGAAACAAGUUUUCAUUUAAAAAAAAUAGAAACGUCUAUGUGGAUACAGCCAAAUGACUCUGCAUUUAGGAAACUAUCAUCAUCAAGAGGCUGUAGCACUUUCUUUGUUAACUGUAUUACUUUGAUCUUGCUGCACCAUGCUUUCAACUUCUGGAGCUUUCUUUCUUUAGUGUCCUAAAAGCAACACAAUCAUUUUAAAGGCUGCAGACUACAACAGCAAGAAUUUCUGACUGUUAAAAAAAUAAAUAAAUUUCUUUCAAAUUAAAAUUAUUAUAAAAGUGGAGAUUACAAUAGUUAAGGAAAUAGAAAAAUAAGCCAAUUAUGAUCUGAGUCUUCGGACUAUGGCUCCAAUUUAUUAAUACAAAUAUCUGUGUAUAAAACUUUUUCAAAAAGUUAAUUCUGCCAGCCAGACCCUCAUACAGAACUUUCCAAGUCUCUGAAUUGACUGAAUGACCCUAUAAACCCAUUCUCUGCAAGUUUCUGCUACAGAGCUAUAGUAACCUCCAUCACUGAUGAAGCAUAUACUGGAAUCAUUUCCCUAUUAUUUUUAUAGUUGUCAAAAAUAAACUGCUGACGUAAUUUAAUCAUCUGAGGAAGAAGUGGCAAACUAGGCACACAGUACUAAUUACAAAAUCACGAGCAAUGGCCAACAAUAUUAUUAGAGGAUUAUCCGUGACUUGCAAACCAUUCAGUAUUUCUAUACUAAACAAGAGAAAUUAUAGUGUGUGAUUUAGUGUAGCAGGUUAAAAAAAAACUCAUAAAGAUUUCAGACCAAAAUUUACCUAUGUAUUUUUAAUUUUACUGUAUCUGUCCUGUUUCUUCAAAUUUUCCUCAAUUUUCAAAGCCUAUAAAUUUAUAUCAGCCAAUACGGUAUCUAACUAAAAUUAUGUUUAAUGCCAUAAUAUCUUAAUUUUACUAUAUUAAAAAUGAUAAAUUACUACCUGGCCAAUUCCUCUAUUAGCUGGCAGGCUCAUCAGAAAGAAGCAGGGCAUUUUUAUUCCAUCAGCUAUGGUAAGUACAGAAUAGGAAGAAGAGAGAUGCGAUUCCUUUUCCAAGUCCUCUCUUUAACUGAGACUUGCUUUUGAUAAAUGAAAUCUUCCCAUUCCAAAUAAUUGGGCAACAGGCACUGCAGGAGACAUGAUCACUCGCUCAGUCUCAAACGCCUCGCCAGGCAGCUGCAAGGUUUCCAUGCUCAGACAACAGUUUUCAGAAGCAAACACCAGAGACAAUACAAAUCAUUUCAACCCUGAUUUCAUCGCAAACGAUUUUAAAAUACAGUACUGACCUAAUAUAUUUUGUGGGCAUGUAGUGUUUGUUGUAAGUGGUAAAAUUUAAGACAUUUAAUCUAAAAUUUUCCCUAAAAAAAUUUCCAUUUUUCCUAAAAAAAGGAAGACAUUUUAGUAGAAAAAGAAAAACAAGCAGCAGAAGUGGCUAGGUAAUUGAAACUGAAAUUAAAAAACAAACAUAUAAGCAAAAAGCAAAUACAAAAAAGCACAGUCCUAUAAGGAACAGUCAGCUUGGCACAGUGAAGACUAAAUGUAAGACACAAAAGACAAACUGUGUAAUAAAUAGGGCCACAGUUGUAAACUGUCAUUCUCCCUCCAAGACGCUGAAAUUGCACUCUAGUUCUCUUGGGAAGCAGCAGAGUUUACAGGAAGAGUGGGUAGGAAACAGCUGUACAGGGCAGGUAUCGUGUAUACAUUUUUUAGAAAAUUAUAAUUCUACAAUCCCAAGGGAAUAGAGGUUAUAGUCACUGAAUGACUGAUACUAUGUCCUCUUCAUGCUUCAAUUAUUUUUCAAUACCUAAAAAUGAGGAAGAAUAGAGAAAUCCUUUUUAGUUUUAACUCAUGUUUCACAUAAUCAUGAAAAAUGAAGGAAGUAAAAUAUGUCAACAGUUUAUAAACAUUUUAGCCAUAGCUUUGACCACUUUCCCCA